rnacentral:rRNA from 1 species
UACGUAGGGUGCGAGCGUUAAUCGGAAUUAUUGGGCGUAAAGAGCUCGUAGGCGGCUUGUCGCGUCGACCGUGAAAACUUGGGGCUCAACCCCAAGCCUGCGGUCGAUACGGGCAGGCUCGAGUUCGGUAGGGGAGACUGGAAUUCCUGGUGUAGCGGUGAAAUGCGCAGAUAUCAGGAGGAACACCGAUGGCGAAGGCAGGUCUCUGGGCCGAUACUGACGCUGAGGAGCGAAAGCGUGGGGAGCGAACAGG